rnacentral:rRNA from 1 species
GAUGAACGCUGGCGGCGUGCCUAAUACAUGCAAGUCGAGCGAACAGACGAGGAGCUUGCUCCUCUGACGUUAGCGGCGGACGUGUGAGUAACACGUGGAUACCCUACCUAUAAGACUGGGAUAACUUCGGUAAACCGGAGCUAACACCGGAUAAUAUCUUGACCCGCAUGGUUCAAUAGUGAAAGACGGUUUUGCUGUCACUUAUAGAUGGAUCCGCGCCGCAUUAGCUAGUUGGUAAGGUAACGGCUUACCAAGGCAACGAUGCGUAGCCGACCUGAGGGGGUAGUCGGCCAGACUGGAACUGAGACACGGUCCAGACUCCUACGGGAGGGAGCAGUAGGGAAUCUUCCGCAAUGGGCGAAAGCCUGACGGAGCAACGCCGAGUGAGUGAUGAAGCUCUUCGGAUCGUAAAACUCUGGUAUUAGGGAAGAACAAAUGUGUAAGUAACUAUGCACGUCUUGACGGUACCUAAUCAGAAAGCCACGGCUAACUACGUG